rnacentral:rRNA from 1 species
AACGAACGCUGGCGGCAUGCCUAACACAUGCAAGUCGAACGAGAUCUUCGGGUCUAGUGGCGCACGGGUGCGUAACGCGUGGGAAUCUGCCCUUUGGUUCGGAAUAACAGUUGGAAACGACUGCUAAUACCGGAUGAUGACGAAAGUCCAAAGAUUUAUCGCCAGAGGAUGAGCCCGCGUAGGAUUAGCUAGUUGGUGUGGUAGGGGCGCACCAAGGCGACGAUCCUUAGCUGGUCUGAGAGGAUGAUCAGCCACACUGGGACUGAGACACGGCCCAGACUCCUACGGGAGGCAGCAGUGGGGAAUAUUGGACAAUGGGCGAAAGCCUGAUCCAGCAAUGCCGCGUGAGUGAUGAAGGCCUUAGGGUUGUAAAGCUCUUUUACCCGGGAUGAUAAUGACAGUACCGGGAGAAUAAGCUCCGGCUAACUCCGUGCCAGCAGCCGCCGCAG